rnacentral:misc_RNA from 1 species
AUGGCGAUGACGAAGGUGAAGGGGCUGCAGAUGUGGUGUCAGCGCCGGGUUGAGGGAUACCGGGACGUGAACGUCGUCGACAUGACCAAGUCUUGGAAGAGUGGCCUGGCCUUCUGUGCACUCAUACACAAGUUCCGACCAGACCUAAUUGACUAUGACUCCCUGUCCAAGGAAAACAUCUUCGAGAACAAUCAGCUGGCGUUUGAGGUUGCGGAGCGUGAGUUGGCGAUCCCGGCGUUGUUGGAGGCGCAGGACAUGGUUGAGAUUCGUGUGCCAGACAAGCUGAGUGUCGUCACCUACGUGUCCCAGUACUACAACUACUUCAAGGAUGCUCCACAGUUAGGUGGACCAGGUGUGACAGCCAAGCAGACGUCAAGCAGUUCACACAAGAGAUCCCCUGCUGUUCAACCAGUGACUGGGCCAGAAAUCAAGCGGUUUGCUCCAGCCAAUGAUAGGAAUGUGGAAUCCGCAACACCCAAGAGAAGCGAGGAAGCCAAGAAGACCAGCACUCUGGGAGAUAAGUGUGUGAUAUGCAACAACAAAGUAUAUUUGCUGGAACGACAAAUUGAAAAUGGCAAACUCUACCACAGAUCCUGUUUCCGCCAUAGUGAGCUCUCCCCGACAGCCAAGGUUUUUAAAUCAUCCCUCUCCUCACCUUCUGACGACUUUGCGAGUAAAGCGAAAGUGCGUAAAACCGAUGAAAGUCCCUCACGGGCAAAGUCAAAUGGACUCAAGCAUGUGGAAACAUCUCAGAACAGUAAAAGUGACCCAACUAAGUCCUUGUUUUCAAAUGAUAAUAGAUCACAGCCAACUACUGCAAGUGAAACACCAUCAUCCAAACCUGAUCCAUUGUUGGAACGGUUGAAAAGCAGGAUGGAAGUUGACAAGAAAGAAAGUGAAGUUCCCAAGUAUAAGAAGAAUCGACCUCUCAUUUUACAAACGGGCACAAAGGAGUCUGAUGAUAGUAAGAAGGCUGAGCCUCCCACGCCAACAUUCAAUGCAAAGAAGUUUGACAAACAUGAAUUUGGUUUUCUCUCAAAGAAUAAAGAAUCAAAUACAAAGGCUGAAGAAUCAAAACCAAAAGAAACUAAGUCAGGGUUCCUUACCUCUAAAACAGAACCAUCUAAACCUACAGAGACAAGUAGUAAGACAGACUUUCCUGUGCCAAAGUCAAGGAAGUUUGGUGUAAAGGAAACUACGAAAGUUGAAAAAAUGGACACAUCCGAACCUUUCGGAGCAAAGUUAAAGCAUGUCUCUCCAACACCUGUUAAAAAGACAUUUGAAAAAACUAAUGAUAACUCCAAGAAACCUGACCAGGUGAAACCUAAAUCACCUGGAUUUGGGAAAAAGUUGUUAAUAUCUCAUGCCAAAGAUAAGGUGAACACGCCCGACUCUCCCCCUCCUCCUCUCCCAUCAUCACAGCCCCCAAGUAAACUCACCACCAAGUACACCCCACAUACAGAAGCUGCUCCCCCUGUGCCCUCGUCAAUGCCCCCAUCCUUCCCCUAUAAAUCAAGUAACAUCACAGUCAAUCUCUCCACCACCACCACCACCAGCUCCACUAAACCUACAAACAAGGUGGGCAUUCUCAAAACCACCACCACUACCACCACCACCACCACCACCAAUGUUCCCAAGGGCAUCACCACCAAUGUUCCCAAAGGCACCACCACCAAUGUUCCCAAGGGCAUCACCACCAAUGUUCCCAAAGGCACCACCAGUGUCCCGAAGGACACCACCACCAAUGCAGCACCCCUUAAACCACCCAGGUUAUAUAUAGCAGACGUUAGAUCCGAGAGUCCCAUGGAUGUGGAUGAGGCGUUACAUAAGGCGUCACAUCCAAGACCUGGGUCUGAACCUGUUGCAGUGCUUGUCAAUCCCACUGACAAGAACCCUGCUAAGGAAAAGAGGGUUUUAGGUGGACUGUUAGCAAGUCUAGCUAAUGUUCGACAGAGUAAAACAGAUGAUGUGACAUCGCCAACAGACAAUUCAUCAAAUAAAAUGCCCCCUGUUGCUAAGUCUAGUACAGAGGUGAAAAGAGAACCAAAUUCAAAUAGACCAAAGAGUGAGUCUGCACUUCCGAAAUCUAAAGUCGAAUUAAGUGUUGCAAAAACAAAGGUUGGUGCUGAUGUGUCAAAGAAAGAGGUCAGUGAUGGGAAAAGUAAGUCCCCUUUUUCAUUUGUUUCGGAUAAGAUAGGAAUAUUCAAAAAGGAUGAAAAUAAGGAAAGUGCUGACAUAAUUUCAAAAGGUGAACAUAGAUCUAAAGUCACAGACACUUCUUCAAGCAGAACAAGUGCAAUAUCUUCCAGUGUAAAUUUGACGUCUGGUGCUGAGAAGUUAAAAAUGAAAGACACAAGUAAGUCUAAACCAGAGGAGAGUGUGCCAAGUUGGAAGAAGGAUACAGGUUUGAAGGAGCUGAAAUCAAAGGGGAACAAUUUGCUGCAGGACAGUAAUGUUUCGAGUAAAGGCUCUGACAAUGUACCAUCUUGGAAAAAAAGUGAUUAUUCAAAGACAAGAGGAUCUGAUCUGCUGCAGGAUAGCAAGUCAGAGCAGAAGUCUAAGUCAGAAGCAUCAGACCAGGUUCCUUCAUGGAAACAGAGAUUGCACGAUAAAGAUCAGCAUAAAUCAGACUUACUGCUGGACAGUAAUGCUAAACACAAGUCUGAGCCUGUUGCCGGCGACGACACUCCUCCAUGGAUGAAAGCUUUAGAGAAACGAAAAGCUGAAAAGGCAAGGCCAAAAUCAGUAGAUGUUUUGUUAGAAGAGUCUGCCUCUAAACAGGGCAAAUCCGAUCUGGUGGAAAUGAGGGUGAAGCCUAAAGAUGAGCAAGGUUCCCCAGGUUUGAAAGAAAGAGCAAAGUCGGCCAGUAUAUUGGAUGACUCGACAGCGAAGCCAACAUGGCAAUUGGAGGCACAGAGACGAUUGGCUCACAAUAAGCAAGCAUUUGUUGAUCCAGAAAAAGGUAUGGUUGCAACUUCAGACUCGGCUGACUCUAAACCAGUGCAAACUGCUCCUCAGAAGAAGCCUAGGACAUCCCACCCAAUCAGCGACACGCCCAUACGACCGCCAAGGCUAAAGAUUUCACCCAAACCAGUCAGCCCUCCUCCCAGUCCCACAGCUCCUGUCAGACAGCUCAAAAAGAUCUCAAUUGGUGAUAGGUUUGAGUUUAACCCCACUGAGAAGAAGAACAAGGAGCCACCAUCACCAUUGAAGACUCCACCUCAACGGCCCCCUGCUCCUAGAGGAAGUCCUUCCAAGACUGUCAGUCCAGGCCGAAUGUCUCCUGCCAUCAUCCAGAAACAGCUUGACGACAUUGAUAAAAAACUAAAUAACCUGGAAAUGAGAGGACGAGAUUUGGAGGACUCAAUCCGUAACGAUCAGAGAGGCAAGAAGGAGAAUAAGUUGAUUUUCCUGGGUGGAUACUACUGACGAGGAAGAUAAUAUGAUGAUUGAAUGGUUCAAACUCAUUAACUCCAAGAACGAAUUGGUUCGCAAAGAGGCUGACCUUAUAUACAUAUCCAAACAGCAGGAUCUGGAGGAUGAACAGGAAGACAUCGAUGAAAUGCUGAAUUACCUUGUCAUGAUACCAG